CGAUCAGUAGGGGUUCUGAGAGGAAGGUCCCCCACAUUGGAACUGAGACACGGUCCAAACUCCUACGGGAGGCAGCAGUGAGGAAUAUUGGUCAAUGGACGAGAGUCUGAACCAGCCAAGUAGCGUGCAGGAUGACGGCCCUAUGGGUUGUAAACUGCUUUUAUAAGGGAAUAAAGUGAGUCUCGUGAGGCUUUUUGCAUGUACCUUAUGAAUAAGGACCGGCUAAUUCCGUGCCAGCAGCCGCGGUAAUACGGAAGGUCCGGGCGUUAUCCGGAUUUAUUGGGUUUAAAGGGAGCGUAGGCCGGAGAUUAAGCGUGUUGUGAAAUGUAGACGCUCAACGUCUGCACUGCAGCGCGAACUGGUUUCCUUGAGUACGCACAAAGUGGGCGGAAUUCGUGGUGUAGCGGUGAAAUGCUUAGAUAUCACGAAGAACUCCGAUUGCGAAGGCAGCUCACUGGAGCGCAACUGACGCUGAAGCUCGAAAGUGCGGGUAUCGAACAGGAUUAGAUACCCUGGUAGUCCGCACGGUAAACGAUGGAUGCCCGCUGUUGGUCUGAAUAGGUCAGCGGCCAAGCGAAAGCAUUAAGCAUCCCACCUGGGGAGUAC
rnacentral:rRNA from 1 species